GAUAUACUCCCUCCGUCUCAUAUUAAGUGUUGAAAUAUUACAUGUAUCUAGAUGUUUUUUAGGUAUGUAUACAUUCAUAUUUGGACAAAUUUGACACACUUGAUAUGGGAUGGAGGGAGUAUCAU
rnacentral:pre_miRNA from 1 species